GACGUAGGAGGCGAGCGUUAUCCGGAUUCACUGGGCGUAAAGCGCAUGUAGGCGGUUGCACAAGUCCGUUGUUAAAGCCCCUGGCUCAACUGGGGGAGGUCACGCGAUACUGAUCGACUCGAAGGCAGGAGAGGGUAGUGGAAUUCCCGGUGUAGUGGUGAAAUUCGUAGAUAUCGGGAGGAACACCGGUGGCGAAGGCGGCGACCUGGGUAGAUACUGACGCUGAGGCGCGAAAGCGUGGGGAGCAAACAGG
rnacentral:rRNA from 1 species